AAGAGGAUGAAAAGACAAAAUACAGAGUACGAGAAAAUAUUUGCUAACCACAGAUCUGACAAAGACUAGUAUCUAGUCUUUGUCACUCAAAACUCAACAAUAAAAAAGCAAACCAUCCAUUUAGAACAUGAAAAAAUAGGUAUUUCAUUAAAGAAGUUGUACAGAUGGCAAGCAAGCUCAUAAAACAAUGUUCAACAUCAUUAGCCAUUAGAGAAAUGAAAAUGAAAACCACAAUGAGACAUCACUACACAAAUGUCAGAAUGGCUAAAAUAAAAUAGUGACAUCAAACGCUGGCCAGGAUGCAGAGAAACUACAUCACUCAUCCAUUGCUGGUGGGAAUGUAAAAUGGUACAGACACUUGUGAAAUUUUGAAAG